ACAAUGAUACUUCCGUAACUCGCGGCUCGGUCACAAAGAAGACGGAGAGGUUAGAUUCCUAUGA
rnacentral:ncRNA from 2 species